GCCCGCGCGGGCGCCGAGAGGAGAGGCGAGGCGGGGAGCGCGAGCGGCGGCCACUGCCACGUAUUCCCGGCAGUGGCGGYGGAGGUGGCGGCGCCCGCGGCAGGAAUAUUCAAGAUACCUUUACUGGAAAUCAUUUUGCUGAAAUUAUUGAAACAGUGAUUCUUGAAUUUGAAGACAAGGAAUCUCUCUCCCCGUCUUGACUACAGGAGUGUGGACCUUUCUUCACGGCCUCUCUGGACACACUG
rnacentral:lncRNA from 1 species